GCCAGCGUGGCAUAGUGGUUUGUGCAUUGGACUACGACUCUGGAGACCAGGGUUCGAAUCCCGGCUCGGCCA